GUUGGAUUCGGGGCCGUAGCACUGUCUGAGAGGCUUACAUUUCUCACAGUGAACCGGUCUCUUUUUCAGC
ensembl:miRNA microRNA 128-1